CCUACGGGAGGCAGCAGUGAGGAAUAUUGGUCAAUGGACGAGAGUCUGAACCAGCCAAGUAGCGUGAAGGAUGACUGCCCUAUGGGUUGUAAACUUCUUUUAUAUGGGAAUAAAAUGUUCCACGUGUGGCACUUUUUGUGUACCACAUUAAUAAGGAUCGGCUAACACCGCGCCCGCAGCCGCGGUAUUACGGAGGGGCCGGGGGUUAUCCGGAUUUAUUGGGUUUAAAGGGAGCGUAGGUGGAUUUUUAAGUCAGUUGUGAAAGUUUGCGGCUCAACCGUGGAAUUGCAGUUGAAACUGGCAGUCUUGAGUGCAGUAGAGGUGGGCGGAAUUCGUGGUGUAGCGGUGAAAUGCUUAGAUAUCACGAAGAACUCCGAUUGCGAAGGCAGGUGACUGGAGUGCAACUGACGCUGAGGCUCGAAAGUGUGGGUAUCAAACAGGAUUAGAUACCCCUGUAGUC
rnacentral:rRNA from 1 species